UACGUAGGUGGCAAGCGUUGUCCGGAUUUACUGGGCGUAAAGGGUGCGUAGGCGGAUUUUUAAGUGGGAUGUGAAAUUCCGAGGCUCAACCUCGGCGCUGCAUUCCAAACUGGAAGUCUAGAGUGCGGGAGAGGAAAGUGGAAUUCCUAGUGUAGCGGUGAAAUGCGUAGAGAUUAGGAAGAACACCAGUGGCGAAGGCGACUUUCUGGACCGUAACUGACGCUGAUGCAUGAAAGCGUGGGGAGCAAACAGG
rnacentral:rRNA from 1 species